GUAAUUUUUACAUCACUAUUUUGUCUCCCUAAUUAUUAAAAAAAAUAAAAAUCAUGAAAUUACAGUAAAUGAGAUUGUAGAUAAAUUACAUCAUUUAAGAAGUAUGUAUUAACAAAUCUGUGUUCUCCAUUAAUCAUUUAACUCUCUACUUAAGGUGAGAAAACAUGACAAGACAAUACUAAAGAGAAUUGAGAAACUGGAACAAGAACUGAAAGAAGACUUAAGAGAUGAAUUUAAGAAUAUUAAGAGUGGCCUUCUGGAAGUGGUGGUGAG